rnacentral:piRNA from 1 species
UCUCAGGUGAAAACUCAGAAGAUGGCACAC